ACGCUCGACACCUACGGGCAGCAGUGGGGAAUAUUGCACAAUGGGGGAAACCCUGAUGCAGCGACGCCGCGUGAGCGAAGAAGUAUUUCGGUAUGUAAAGCUCUAUCAGCAGGGAAGAAAAUGACGGUACCUGACUAAGAAGCCCCGGCUAACUACGUGCCGGCAGCCGCGGUAAUCUGAGCGGGCUGGCAAGGC
rnacentral:rRNA from 1 species